UAUUAUUCACUGGAGACAAUCAGUUCACUGUUCUCUAAGCUUGGGGAAGCUUUGCCUGCUAUGGAUACCUGCACUCUUAGUGGGAACAGGGAUGAUGAUGAAUCUAGAAAUAUUUCAUGAGAGAGACAGAGGACUCCAAAGCUAGGAAUCGUCAUGUGGAGAAGAAUACACUUAGAAUUAACAUUCCAGUUUUCCUAGUAAUGAAGACCGUUUCCUAGAAGGAGAUCAGUAGAAAUCCUGUACUAAGAAUUAAGUGCAAGAAGUGGGCAAACAGCAAAUUCUAUGCUGGCACAACGGUUCCCGUGACCUAUCCACCCUACCCCCAGAAUGUGCGCAUGAGCGCACUGUUAGUAUUCUCUGGGAGAAGAGAAAUGUCCCUCUUCCCUGUCUGAGGAACGCUUCUGGAAUGCAGGCUCAAGUCAUGACAGUCGAUCAAGCAUCACAGAAUCAUCCACUAUGCCAUUUUAUAGGAACAAUGUCAAUAGAAGAAAGGCAUCCAAGAGAAUUCAACAGAUGGUAUUGAAUGCUGCCUUUCACCUCAUGAUUCUGUGUUUCCGGAUGAAGACUUCAUGCUGCCACCCCAGAGAAACCAGCUGGAUGGAAAGGGAAUUUGGACACAGACGUGCACGGAGCAAAGUUCUGAAGAGACUCAAGGAGAAGCCAGCCACCUGCACCCCAAGAAGAGAGGCCCAGAGUAGCUCCAUCUUCAUAACUUUCAGGAGGAACCAAGUUGCCCACAUGUCUAUUUUGGACACCUGGCCUCCCAAAUGAUGCAACCACACCCUUCUGUUUUCAGAUGCCUACCUCACCAUACUGUGUUACGGGCAGCCCUGGGAAACAAUGCAUUUGGCUGCCAUAAUUUUCAUCAAAUAAAAGAACAGAAGGAA